GCAGGAUAUUGCCCAGUUCCUAGCACAAAAUGGGUGGCUAACAAAUGCUAUUUUCUUUUUCUCUUGGGAUAAUACAUUUUUUUUCCCUCAUAUCUCCUAUAGUGAUUAUACUAAUAAGCACUCAGUAAAUAUUUGUUUAAAAAUAUUGCGAUUCCUGGAGAACAGGUCUCUUCACGAGGGCAGACUGGGCAGGCGAUGCCGUGAACCCUGCCCUUGGGGUAAGGGCCUGGCAGAUGACUGUGAAGACAGGAGCUUGGAACAGAUUCAUGGCCAGCUAAGUGAGUCCAGUGGCUGAGGUGAGGUACCACAAACGGGGCCUCAUAACCCAAUUCAGACUACUCUUCCCCUAC
rnacentral:RNase_P_RNA from 2 species